rnacentral:rRNA from 1 species
UGACCUCGGAUCAGGUAGGAUCCCGCUGACUUAAGCAUAUCAAUAAGCGAAGAA